CCUACGGGAGGCAGCAGUAGGGAAUUUUCGUCAAUGGGCGCAAGCCUGAACGAGCGAUGCCGCGUGAGUGAAGAAGGCCUUCGGGUCGUAAAGCCCUGUCAGCAGGGAAGAAAAUGACGGUACCUGAAGAAGAAGCCCCGGCUAACUACGUGCCAGCAGCCGCGGUAAUACGUAGGGGGCAAGCGUUAUCCGGAUUUACUGGGUGUAAAGGGGGCGCAGACGGCGAUGCAAGCCAGGAGUGAAAGCCCGGGGCCCAACCCCGGGACUGCUCUUGGAACUGCGUGGCUAGAGUGCAGGAGGGGCAGGCGGAAUUCCUGGUGUAGCGGUGAAAUGCGUAGAUAUCAGGAGGAACACCGGUGGCGAAGGCGGCCUGCUGGACUGCAACUGACGUUGAGGCCCGAAAGCGUGGGGAGCAAACAGGAUUAGAUACCCCGGUAGUC
rnacentral:rRNA from 1 species